AAUGAACGUUGGCGGUGCGCCUAACACAUGCAAGUCGAGCGAGAGUAAUCUAGCGGCGAACGGGUGAGUAACGCGUGAGAAUCUGCCCUUCAGUGAGGAAUACCUUCAAGAAAUUGGAGUUAAUACUGCAUACGUCCCUUCGGGGAGAAAGAUGGCCUCUUUGCUAUCGCUGAAGGAUGAGCUUGCGUACUAUUAGCUAGUUGGUAGGGUAAUGGCCUACCAAGGCGAUGAUGGUUAGCCGGCCUGAGAGGGGGAUCGGCCACAUUGGAACUGAGACACGGCCCAGACUCCUACGGGAGGCAGCAGUGGGGAAUAUUGGACAACGGGCGGAAGCCUGAUCCAGCCAUGCCGCGUGAGUGAUGAAGGCCUUAGGGUUGUAAAGCUCUUUCACCUGGGAAGAUAAUGACGGUACCAGGAGAAGAAGCCCCGGCUAACUUCGUGCCAGCCGCCGCUGUAACAC
rnacentral:rRNA from 1 species